CCCUUAGAUGUUCUGGGCCGCACACGCGCUACACUGAAGGAGGCAGCGUGUACUCCUGGAUCGAAAGAUUUGGGUAACCCGCGAAUCUCCUUCGUGCUAGGGAUUGAGGUUUGCAAUUAUCCUUCAUGAACGAGGAAUUUCCAGUAAGUGCAAGUCAUAAGCUUGCGCUGACUACGUCCCUGCCCUUUGUACACACCGCCCGUCGCUACUACCGAUUGAAUGAUUUAGUGAGGACUUCGGACUGGGACCGAUGCGGCUUUCGGGCUGCGUCGGUAUUCUGGAAAGAUGUCCAAACUGUGUCAUUUAGAGGAAGUAAAAGUCGUANCA
rnacentral:rRNA from 1 species